GGCACGCUAGCUGCUUCGCUCCCGGCACGGCAGGCCAACGGCGGUCUCCACAAAAAGACAAAGGCGUCGC
rnacentral:ncRNA from 1 species